GCUGCGCUCAAUCCGGGCCUGGUAGCCCGGCGCUGCCAGCUCUCAAUGAGCCGCUCGCCCGCUCUAUUGUUGCUCCUCAGGGCUCCAUUAGACAGAAUUGGACAACAAUGUGGCGUCUGCCAUUGGCCAGGGGAGGCAGUCGGCGCUCUGAUUGGCCGGGCCCGCGCCCGGGGAGCCCCUCAUUCUACAGUGUCCGAAAGAUUCGAAACUCGGAACGCUCCGCUGAGUGCCUGCGGAAAGGGAGGGGGCGCCAGGGAAGGAGUGCGCAAGGAGGAGCGUUGCAAAUGUCGUGACAAGAAGUUUCCGUGCGCCCGAGAGCGUGUGAAUUGCUCCUAAUUACCGUGUCCGGUGCGCCUCUCCGCGUAGACGUGUGUAACCCCUCUACUUCUGGGGCGCCCGCUCCGCUGCGCCACUCUUGCCUUGGCCCGGGGCGCUUGGCAAGGCUGAGCUUCCCAAGUGGCCCUGGAGGCCUGGGGCGGGACAGGGGCAGGAAAGUAUAAAAGCAGCCUCUGCGCCUCCGCAAAUCCUCUAGGACGCUGGAUGCACGGGCCAGUCGGUCUGGCCACCAGGCCACAAGGCUGCCUCAGGGGGCGGGGGCCCUGCACCAGCUUUGACUUGGCCUUCACCGACCUGUGCUGACGUCACGGCCCCGAGACCCGUUCUGUCUACCGAGAAUGUAACAGAGUAAAGAAUAUUCGUUUAAAUGAAAAGCGGUGCCAUCUCCGCAUUUCUUCUCCGCUCCGUACCGUGCAUUUUCGCUCUGCUUUUUAGAAGCCCCUGGGCCGCAGGAGUCGGGUCUAUGCCAACGCAGAUGCACACACCUGUUAGGCACACGGAGCCUGCCUUGGUCCGCAGCCCCUUCCGACAGGCGGCCCCGCAGCUGGGGUGGAAGGAAGGCAAGAUCAGCAGGAUCCCAUAGCAGAACUACACGCCUGCCCAAGAAGCCAACGGAGGAUCCCACGUGAGGAGACCUGAGGGGGCGAUGAGCCUCAGAAUCUGGCAGACAACUUCCAAAAGUUCUCCAGGCCCUACUCAAGAGAGCUUGGAGCAGGAUAGUACAGAAUAGCAAUCUGGCUGCCAGCUACUGAGAAAGUUCCUUCCUUGGAGCCUGAGAAAAGAUUUGGAAGGGAGUUAAGAGUCUUCAGAUGCAGGUGGAGUGAGGGUGCCAUAAAGUUCUCCUGCGUUAGGCGCUCAGACCCCCCCCCACACACACACCUCUUAAAAUCCCCAGG